rnacentral:lncRNA from 1 species
CCUUGUUCUUGGACUUCCUAGCCUUCAGAACUACUGUUUGACCUCUGGUAACUAAAACUGCAGAAGGCAAAACUGGAUAAGGAGACUACUGUAAUGAUUAUGCUAUUACAAGAUGCUCGAUUGCUAACAUCAGACAUUUUUAUAAUAGACACUUUCAUUGUGAGGCUACUGGGUCUGUGAUGCAUUUGAGUAAAAGGAAAGAAAGGAGAUUUGGUGGGUGAAGCACAUCUGUGAUACACACAGCAGAGCGUGCCCCUGCCAAGAGCAUCAAGCAUUGGGUGGAGCCGAGAGCUACGUUCAGACUCAAACCCCGUUGUGAUGAUCACUGCCAGAAUCCUGCUAGGACAUCUCUGCCUGUGGAAGGAGGGCUGGAUGGCAUACUGGGAAUGGCUUUCUAGGAUGACUUCGUGUUGCUACAGACUACACGCAGCAUUUCUGGCCUUGAUGUUGUCUGAAUGAAGAAGGCCUAGGAGUUUCACCAAAGUAUAGAUCCCAGAAACCAGUUUGAUCAUGGCAGAUGAUAGUGGCUACUCUAA